rnacentral:rRNA from 1 species
UACGUAGGGUGCGAGCGUUAAUCGGAAUUACUGGGCGUAAAGCGUGCGUAGACGGUUAUUUAAGUCGGGUGUGAAAGCCCCGGGCUCAACCUGGGAAUUGCAUUCGAGACUGAAUAGCUAGGGUACGGUAGAGGGAAGUGGAAUUUCCGGUGUAGCGGUGAAAUGCGUAGAUAUCGGAAGGAACAUCAGUGGCGAAAGCGACUUCCUGGACCAGUACCGUACGUUCAGGCACGAAAGCGUGGGGAGCAAAGCAGGAAUUGAGAAACCC